rnacentral:rRNA from 1 species
AGAGUUUGAUCCUGGCUCAGAUUGAACGCUGGCGGCAGGCCUAACACAUGCAAGUCGAACGGUAGCACAGAGAGCUUGCUCUCGGGUGACGAGUGGCGGACGGGUGAGUAAUGUCUGGGAAACUGCCCGAUGGAGGGGGAUAACUACUGGAAACGGUAGCUAAUACCGCAUAAUGUCGCAAGACCAAAGAGGGGGACCUUAGGGCCUCUUGCCAUCGGAUGUGCCCAGAUGGGAUUAGCUUGUAGGUGAGGUAACGGCUCACCUAGGCGACGAUCCCUAGCUGGUCUGAGAGGAUGACCAGCCACACUGGAACUGAGACACGGUCCAGACUCCUACGGGAGGCAGCAGUGGGGAAUAUUGCACAAUGGGCGCAAGCCUGAUGCAGCCAUGCCGCGUGUAUGAAGAAGGCCUUCGGGUUGUAAAGUACUUUCAGCGGGGAGGAAGGGAGUGAGGUUAAUAACCUUAUUCAUUGACGUUACCCGCAGAAGAAGCACCGGCUAACUCCGUGCCAGCAGCCGCGGUAAUUC